GUUCAUGUAGUUGAACUCAACGAUAGCUUUUCAAGCUUUAAGUCUUGGUUAAAGCCCGAGCGUGAAUU
rnacentral:tRNA from 1 species